GAAAAGAGUAAUAAUGCGAGUUAGCAUAAUGCGGUACACCUGCACACCCGUUCACCAGGCGAGCUUGGCUGCCAGCUACGGGGAGAAAGCUCAGGUCCGAAGGCACAUCUUCAUUUCCAUCGCUGAUUGGACCUGGGAACCUCCAAGGCAGCCCUGUGGGAGCUGCAGAGGCCCUCAGGGGGCCCCAGAGGAAGACCCUGCCUGCUCAACGGGAGGGUGGCUCCAGAGUGACGCCAGGGGACCGAGUGUCAGCCGGGAAGGGACCAUAGGAAAACCCAUGAGUCAGCAGAAGCCUUGAGGCAGACAGAUGGAGAAGAUGGGGCGAGAGAAGCCGCUGCAGGUAAACAGGGACCUGGGUAAACUGAGUCAUGUGUCAGGCAGACACGUGCCAGGUGGGACCCAGCACGUGCCCACCUGCUUCUGAGGGAUCCAGAAUCAUCUCCCUGCUGCUGUGGGAUCCAGAACAAUCUUCCUGUUCUCCUUGAGGUUCCAUUGUCUUGAUACCUGGAGACCCUGUGUUCCUUUACUUCCAGGGUGUCUGGCCUGCCAAGAAUAACAUUUGUCUCUACCCCUCGCGAUUUGGAAAGGUUGAAACAAGACUUACCUUGCAGGAUCCUUAGGAAAAUUGAUCAAAACCGUACACAGAGGGAGUUCUCAUUGUGGCUCAGGGGUAAUGAACCUGACUAAUAUCCAUGGUGAUGGGGGUUCGAUCCCUGGCCUCACUCAGUGGGUCAGGGACCUGGUGUUGCCAUGAGCUGUGGUGUAGGUCACAGACACAGCUCAGAUCCCAAGUUGCUGUGGCUGUGGCGUAGGCUGACAGCUGUAGCUUCAAUUCAACCCCUAGCCUGAGAACCUCCAUAUGCUACACCUAAGACCCUAAAAAGCAAAAAAAAAAAAAAAAAAAAAAAAAAAAAGCACACAUAGAAAAUGGGCUCCAUGUGGCCCACGUGCACAGCAGGGAAUCAGAAAGGGAGCUGCUAUUGCCAAGAAACUGAGCACAGACAGCGCUCACCUCAGAGCCCAGAGAAUUCAGGAAGCCACGCAGAAGCUAGUUAACAGCCUUGAGAGAGCUAUUUUUUCCAGCGAUACAGGCUGCAUGGACCCAACCUCUUUCUCCUGGUCUGUCCCCAUCUCAACCUUACAGCUAUAUGAACAGUAUUGUUUUGUUUUGCUUUUUAGGGCCACACCCAAGGCACAUGGAGGGCGAAUUAGAGCUGCAACUGCCGGCCUACACCACAGCCCCAGAAACUAGGGAUCCGAGCCUCAUCUGUGAUCUACACUGCAGUUCAUGGCAAUGCCAGAUCCUUACCCACUGAGCACAGCCAGGGAUCAAACCCGAAUCUUCAUGGAUACUAGUCAGGUUUGUUACCACUGAGCCAUAAUGGGAACUCCCUAAACGGUAUUUUAGAAAGAAAACACGGGAUGUAUGCUUGAACCAGGCACACUUGUGCUGGUUCCCCAUAUGAGCAGUAGCCUGAGAAUCAUUGGAUGUUAACCGAAAUGCUCAAUUUCUUGACAAUUUUGAUGUUAUUUGAGAAUAUCUGCAGAGACUAUUUGAAAAGAAAUUAGGCCUGUUGUCCUGACAACAGCAGAACACACAGUGGGAUAGCUCAAAGUCAUCUGGAUUUGUCCCUGACCUUGGCCUCCCUGGAAGAAGUGUUAGCUGAGCCCCAGGGGGCCCAGGACUGUGGUGGGCAGUUUGACAGGUUGACAAGCAAUCCCAUUGGCAGUCCAGCUGUCUUGAUGCUGGACUGAUUUCCUGUGUUUCAUUACUCCCAGUGUAUUUUUAUGUUGGUCCCCUCUCUCCUGUGGGGAACAGCAUUCACCACUACCUGGAACAGCAUUUGUCACUACUCCUUCCAACCUGGAAGAGUCAAAUGUUGGGCUUAGUGGUUCAGCUCAACUUUUCAAAGGAAAAAACAGGGUCAGAGAGGUUAGGGGGCCAGUCAAGUGAGUAGUAAGCCCUGGAACUGGGAUUCCAACUCAUAUCUGCUUGAUUCCUUCCUGUCACGCCCAGGUAUUUCUGAUGGAAAUAGCAAAACCCAGGAUAUUGCAGCACACACAGGCUGAGUUCUAGCCACAACCUGGUUCUUACAUCACACAGACUCAUUUUGAACCUGAAGGAGGAAAGUGGAAAAAUGCCAAAUUGGUUUGGGAAGGGGUGGGGAGAGGAAAUGUGUGUGGGGGGGGGUGAGGUGAAAAUGUUCUUUCUCUGCUGUGUCAUUAGGGGAACAGAAAGGGGUAAUCGUCUCAUUUUUCUUAACAGAAGCAACACAGGAAGAAAAGCAUUCAUUAAAACACUGCAUCACUGCACACUUUAGAAAGGAAGCAGCAACUCAUUUCAGUUCUGCAGGAGAAAUUUUUGCAAAUGAAUAAAGAGGGGUAGUUAAUAGGUUUUGUUUGUUUG
rnacentral:lncRNA from 1 species